UACAGAGGGGGCAAGCGUUGUUCGGAAUUACUGGGCGUAAAGGGCGCGUAGGCGGCCUUCUAAGUCGAACGUGAAAUCCCCGGGCUCGACCCGGGAACUGCGUCCGAUACUGGAAGGCUUGAAUCCGGGAGAGGGAUGCGGAAUUCCAGGUGUAGCGGUGAAAUGCGUAGAUAUCUGGAGGAACACCGGUGGCGAAGGCGGCAUCCUGGACCGGUAUUGACGCUGAGGCGCGAAAGCCAGGGGAGCAAACGGG
rnacentral:rRNA from 1 species